GACGAACGCUGGCGGCGUGCCUAAUACAUGCAAGUAGAACGCACAGUUUAUGCCGUAGCUUGCUCCACCAUAGACUGUGAGUUGCGAACGGGUGAGUAACGCGUAGGUAACCUGCCUGGUAGCGGGGGAUAACUAUUGGAAACGAUAGCUAAUACCGCAUAAUAUUAAUUAUUGCAUGAUAAUUAAUUGAAAGGUGCAAUUGCACCACUACCAGAUGGACCUGCGUUGUAUUAGCUAGUAGGUGAGGUAACGGCUCACCUAGGCGACGAUACAUAGCCGACCUGAGAGGGUGAUCGGCCACACUGGGACUGAGACACGGCCCAGACUCCUACGGGAGGCAGCAGUAGGGAAUCUUCGGCAAUGGACGAAAGUCUGACCGAGCAACGCCGCGUGAGGGAAGAAGGGUGUCGGAUCGUAAAGCUCUGUUGUAAGAGAAGAACGGGUGUGAGAGUGGAAAGUUCACACUGUGACGGUAUCUUACCAGAAAGGGACGGCUAACUACGUG
rnacentral:rRNA from 1 species